AACUGCGAAUGGCUCAUUAAAUCAGUUAUCGUUUAUUUGAUAGUACCUUGCUACAUGGAUACCUGUGGUAAUUCUAGAGCUAAUACAUGCUAAAAACCCCGACUUCGGAAGGGGUGUAUUUAUUAGAUAAAAAACCAACGCCCUUCGGGGCUCCUUGGUGAAUCAUGAUAACUUAACGAAUCGCAUGGCCUUGCGCCGGCGAUGGUUCAUUCAAAUUUCUGCCCUAUCAACUUUCGAUGGUAGGAUAGUGGCCUACCAUGGUGGCAACGGGUAACGGGGAAUUAGGGUUCGAUUCCGGAGAGGGAGCCUGAGAAACGGCUACCACAUCCAAGGAAGGCAGCAGGCGCGCAAAUUACCCAAUCCCGACACGGGGAGGUAGUGACAAUAAAUACUGAUACGGGGCUCUUUCGGGUCUCGUAAUCGGAAUGAGUACGAUUUAAAUACCCUAACGAGGAACAAUUGGAGGGCAAGUCUGGUGCCAGCAGCCGCGGUAAUUCCAGCUCCAAUAGCGUAUAUUAAAGUUGUUGCAGUUAAAAAGCUCGUAGUUGAACCUUGGGUCUGGCUGGCCGGUCCGCCUCACCGCGAGUACUGGUCCGGCCGGACCUUUCCUUCUGGGGAACCCCAUGGCCUUCACUGGCUGUGGGGGGAACCAGGACUUUUACUGUGAAAAAAUUAGAGUGUUCAAAGCAGGCCUUUGCUCGAAUACAUUAGCAUGGAAUAAUAGAAUAGGACGUGCGGUUCUAUUUUGUUGGUUUCUAGGACCGCCGUAAUGAUUAAUAGGGAUAGUCGGGGGCGUCAGUAUUCAGCUGUCAGAGGUGAAAUUCUUGGAUUUGCUGAAGACUAACUACUGCGAAAGCAUUCGCCAAGGAUGUUUUCAUUAAUCAGGGAACGAAAGUUAGGGGAUCGAAGACGAUCAGAUACCGUCGUAGUCUUAACCAUAAACUAUGCCGACUAGGGAUCGGACGGGUUUCUAUGAUGACCCGUUCGGCACCUUACGAGAAAUCAAAGUU
rnacentral:rRNA from 1 species